AAUAAGGUUCAAAAUUUGUGACUUUGCUGUAGGAGGUUCUCCGAAGCCUUGAACAUUUUGCCACGACGCCCAACCAACUGUAACAAUGUUUAAACAAAAAUUAAGGAAAAAGUUCAGUAUAAAAGAAUAAUACAAACAAAAAUAUGACGAUAUUGCGUACCUUUUGCAAGAAAUCUUUCUUCGUUCAAAACGCAGAUCGCAUUCAAACACAACAUAGUCGCUUCAAAAAGUGUCCAAAGUGUAAACGCCAUAUUAUAUCGAUAUGAUGAAUGAUAACAUUGAGAAUAUCACGCAGCGCCACUAGCGUAAGGAAAGGUAAAACAGCUUCAUACGCAUCAACCAAUCAAUUUGUAUCGAUUAGGAACCGUCCUGCCAUCUUCUGUGUUCCGCUGGAAACUAUCAAUUAAAACAGUGGCGUUAUGCGGGAAAUUUGAAUUAAAAUUUAUUUCCACUAUGUCAAAAUACAUUUAGAAUAAUCUCGAGAUUUAAACAUCGCUCAAGAUUUCGAAAAUCUUGAAUUUCAUCGAUAUUAUUUUACAAAUGCUUGCAGAAAUAGUACGAUAUGGAAACUAAGAGUUAAAACGAUACUCGAAAGAAUUGGUAGACUUUAUAAGUAACUUAACAACGCGAUAAUACAACGGAUGGUUAGGAGCAUUAUUCUAUUUAUAAUAAUUGAACGACAAAGCGCACCUUCUUGGCACUAACGCUUUUGGAACAGGAGUACAAGUGUUUCUAGACGAUUCGACGCUCCCUUCUCAAUUGAGUUACGUUAACAAUUCAUGUGUGCCGAUUUAGUUAUAGAACUUAGAGUUCAUUUCAUGCUACCCUCGAUCGUUCAUGACCUCUAUCAUCAUUUUAUCACGCGGCGUUCGAGGCACACGUUUAUCACGUGUAAGGAUAUUCGUGGAUUUUAAUAUUCUGAUAUCGUUUUGCGUAUGCAAAGAAAAGUCGGAAUCUUCCAUAUCGUGAUGAAAGUCACGAACGCAUUUGACGUGCGCAAAAAUUUUUCUUGUUUGCAGACGAUAAGUAUUCAGCAAAAGCUAUGCUAAAUCACAGCCUCGAACAAGCGUUGUAUUACUGCAAAAAAUUGCACCACAGACUAAACUCGCGUCGGCGGAAAGUACGCGUGAAUCACGUGUUCCAAAUGUCACGUUUAUGCAACUGUAGAAAAUAUUGCAUUAUGCUAGGAUUAAAAAAAGUUUGAGACAAAACUAUCAUUAAUUUUAGGAAAAGUCUCCAACAUGUACAAUGUACGUCUUAUUUGGCAACAAGACAAUAUAGGAAAAUUGUUCCAAAGCCAAUGUUUCCUCGACUAAUUUAGAUCUUCCACGAAUUCAUUCAAAUCAUUCAUCAUCCCCUAACAGAUAAUAAUAUUUUUCAUAUACAACGAUAACGAUUGCCUUAAUUUUAGCUUUCUAUAUAAAUCACAAGGUACUCUGAUUCAUUUCCCCAGUAAUUACGCAAAUCGUAUGACUACAAAUCAUCUGUCAAAUAAAAAUGUGUAUUUUUCAAUAAACUAGAUGCAGCAAUA